UACAGAGGGUGCAAGCGUUGUUCGGAAUUAUUGGGCGUAAAGGGCGCGUAGGCGGUGCCACAAGUCACCUGUGAAAUCUCCGGGCUUAACUCGGAGCCUGUAGGCGAAACUGUGGUGCUGGAGUGUGGGAGAGGUGCGUGGAAUUCCCGGUGUAGCGGUGAAAUGCAUAGAGAUCCGGAAGAACACCGACGGCGAAGGCAGCGUCCUGGCCGAGCACUGACGCUCAGGCACGAAAGCGCGGGGAGCAAACAGG
rnacentral:rRNA from 1 species